rnacentral:rRNA from 1 species
ACGGAGGGUGCAAGCGUUAUCCGGAUUCACUGGGUUUAAAGGGUGCGUAGGUGGAUUAGUAAGUCAGUGGUGAAAUCUCUGGGCUUAACUCAGAAACUGCCAUUGAUACUAUUAGUCUUGAAUACCGUGGAGGUCAGCGGAAUAUGUCAUGUAGCGGUGAAAUGCUUAGAUAUGACAUAGAACACCAAUUGCGAAGGCAGCUGGCUACACGAAUAUUGACACUGAGGCACGAAAGCGUGGGGAUCAAACAGGA